CCUACGGGAGGCAGCAGUGAGGAAUAUUGGUCAAUGGACGAGAGUCUGAACCAGCCAAGUAGCGUGAAGGAUGACUGCCCUAUGGGUUGUAAACUUCUUUUAUAAAGGGAUAAAACGAGGCACGUGUGCCUUUUUGCAUGUACUGUAUGAAUAAGGAUCGGCUAACUCCGUGCCAGCAGCCGCGGUAAUACGGAGGAUCCGAGCGUUAUCCGGAUUUAUUGGGUUUAAAGGGUGCGUAGAUGGGUUGUUAAGUCAGUUGUGAAAGUGUGCGGCUCAACCGUAAAAUUGCAAUUGAUACUGGCAGUCUUGAGUGCAGUUGAGGUAGGCGGAAUGCGUGGUGUAGCGGUGAAAUGCUUAGAGAUCACGAAGAACCCCGAUUGCGAAGGCAGCUUACUAAACUGUGACUGACAUUGAGGCUCGAAAGUGUGGGUAGCAAACAGGAUUAGAUACCCGGGUAGUC
rnacentral:rRNA from 1 species